CCUACGGGAGGCAGCAGUGGGGAAUAUUGCACAAUGGGCGCAAGCCUGAUGCAGCCAUGCCGCGUGUAUGAAGAAGGCCUUCGGGUUGUAAAGUACUUUCAGCGGGGAGGCGUUACCCGCAGAAGAAGCACCGGCUAACUCCGUGCCAGCAGCCGCGGUAAUACGGAGGGUGCAAGCGUUAAUCGGAAUUACUGGGCGUAAAGCGCACGCAGGCGGUCUGUUAAGUCAGAUGUGAAAUCCCCGGGCUCAACCCGGGAACUGCAUUUGAAACUGGCAGACUUGAGUCUCGUAGAGGGGGGUAGAAUUCCAGGUGUAGCGGUGAAAUGCGUAGAGAUCUGGAGGAAUACCGGUGGCGAAGGCGGCCCCCUGGACGAGCUGACGCUCAGGUGCGAAAGCGUGGGGAGCAAACAGGAUUAGAUACCCUUGUAGUC
rnacentral:rRNA from 1 species